rnacentral:misc_RNA from 1 species
CACGUAGGGACCAAGCGUUGUCCGGAUUCACUGGGCGUAAAGAGCUCGUAGGCGGCUCAGUAAGUCGGGUGUGAAACCUCCAGGCUCAACCUGGAGACGCCACCCGAUACUGCUGUGGCUAGAGUCCGGUAGGGGAGUGGGGAAUCUCUGGUGUAGCGGUGAAAUGCGCAGAUAUCAGAGGGAACACCAGCGGCGAAGGCGCCACUCUGGGCCGGUACUGACGCUGAGGAGCGAAAGCGUGGGGAGCAAACAGG